AUGAGAUCACUUGAAAAUUGUAAUUUACCUGGUGGCCACGUCAAUGACAUAUUUUUGUUUAAUGAAAUCAUUGGACACUUGGGUCUCGUUGAGCUACCAAUCAAAGGCCAUCAAUUCACUUGGUCCAAUAUGCAAACUUCACAGCUUUUGGAGCAGAUCGACUGGUUUUCACUUCAGAUCGACUGGUUUUUCAUCGCUUUUGGAGCGAAUGGACCAAUCUAA
rnacentral:rRNA from 1 species